rnacentral:rRNA from 1 species
AUUGAACGCUGGCGGCAGGCCUAACACAUGCAAGUCGAACGAGUGGCGGACGGGUGAGUAAUGUCUGGGAAACUGCCUGAUGGAGGGGGAUAACUACUGGAAACGGUAGCUAAUACCGCAUACCAUCGGAUGUGCCCAGAUGGGAUUAGCUAGUAGGUGGGGUAAAGGCUCACCUAGGCGACGAUCCCUAGCUGGUCUGAGAGGAUGACCAGCAACACUGGAACGGAGAAACGGUCCCGACUCCUACGGGAGGAAGCAGUGGGGAAUAUUGCACAAUGGGCGCAAGCCUGAUGCAGCCAUGCCGCGUGUAUGAAGAAGGCCUUCGGGUUGUAAAGUACUUUCAGCGGGGAGGCGUUACCCGCAGAAGAAGCACAGGCUAACUCCGUGCCAGCAGCCGCGGUAAUUC